UCUGCAAAUUCUGGGCGUCUUCCAGGAAGUCCAUCCACACACCUCAUCAGAAGGCUCUUUUGGCACUGAUCCUCCAACUGGUUUUGUUGUCGGGUCCCUGCCCUGGGGCAUUGAUUAGAUGUGUUGCCCAGAGGGGUUGCCACUGUUUUCUCCCAGCGGCCACUUUUUCGUCUCUGAUCUGUCUGCCUGGAUUUAAUAAACAUAGGCAAUAUUCUUAACACUCUUGUGGAGACGCGGCCUACAGUACAGCCCUGUGGGUGCACGUCAGGGGUCCUCGUCCCCUUUGGCAACCACCAGCCAGUCUUGAUAUUUCGAGCCAGGGCUGCCCCCUGUGCCCUGCUGGGUGUGUCACUGAUGCUGCAGAAGUCCCUGCCCCCUGGCUUUGCCCAGGCCUCCACUUCAGGUCCUCCUUCACCUUCACCCUCCCUUCAACGCCCUUGGCAGUAGUGGUCGCACAUCUGAGGUUAUAUUUGUUCCCUACGGUUCUGGAUGUCUUGCCUUUGCCCUCCAGAUCCACAUCUUUCUCUUCUGUGAGACCAACGGGAAGCUGGAGGGCAAGAGAGCCAAAGGGCUGUAGCCAAUGGGAGGGACUGGCAAGGAGAUUACAGGGGAGGGAAGAAAGGCUGGGCGGGUCCUCCUCAGCACCUUCCUGCCUGCACGUGGCCUGACCCUCCACUGAGGCCACCGCUCCGGUGUGGAGCUUGAUCCAGUUCAGCGCUCCUAGGAACUGCUCCCUAGCCUGGGUAUUCCGGGUGCCCGGUGCAGUGGCUGGGGUGGGGCGCUGAGUACUCCUUUUAGCCUCCUUUAAUCCUUGUCCUUAAACUCUCUGCAGCCAUGUCCUUCGAGCAUCCUGGCUGACACUCAUAGUUUGACCUCAGCGGUUUCAGUGUCUGUGUCUCUUUCCCAAUGCUUCUGUUGGCUUUCGAGAGGAGACCACCGUGUACAACAGCAAGUUCUACAGAUGCUUUUUACUUGAAAAGCUUCAGCAUAAAAGUUGUUUUUUCCAAAAGGCAUGUUCUUGGGAGAACAGUUCAUACCUAUUUGAAAGUGCAGGGUUUUAUUAUUUUUUUCAAAUUAUACAACUGGACAGCAAGAGGUCAUAACAAAGCAGUUUUGUAUUGGAGAAACAACUUUAUUGGUCACAGAAAAGAAGUAGACCAAGAGAAGAAAUAGAAUUAAAAGAACAGUUUAUUCAUAAUCAUGCAGAUUAGGAGUCCUUUUCAAAUGAUGGGGAAAAACAUUGUUUUUGUUCCUUUCCAAAAUCCAACCACCGUCACCGCAGCACAGAACCUGCUGCCACUGCCCAGGGACACGGACAUUCUGGGCUAUGAAGGUUGUGUUUCUUGACUUUCUGGUUUUUUGUUUUUAACAGCAGAAAAGGACGUGAAUUCAGAGAUUUCUUUCCACGGGAAACUGAAGGAGGGAAAGCAGAAAUCCACUUGUAUUUGUAAAUGGGCACUUGCCUUGCCCUCUUCCGGCCCCUGUAGGAGCCUGCCAUUCUCAUCCCCUGACCUGGAGGGGCUGUGACCAUCAGACCUGUCACAUUCGGGGCCUGGGCAGCAGAGUGGCUCAUUGGAUGUGUGUUGGGCCCAUAACCCAGGGCUCAAUGGGGCGACACCAUCCGCGGCUACAGGCUCAUCUUUUUUCCCCCAGGCAGCAGCCUGCAGACCUCACUCUCCGUGUCCCCUUCUGUCUCCCUAUCAGGGUGUGCAGGGCCCACAGCAGCAGUCUGCUCCACAGUAUGGUGGUCAGCACUCUGGACUCUGGAUCCAGCGAUCCGAGUUCAAAUCUCGGUGGGACCUACACAAUUCUUUUUUGUCCCCCUUCCCUUGAUCCCCACUUUGGUGUCUCUUCCCUCAGUGCCCUCAGACCAAGGGUAGCCUGACGGCAGCCCUGGUGUCUUAUGGUUCCAUGGUGUAAUGGUCAGCACUCUGGACUCUGAAUCCAGCGAUCCGAGUUCAAAUCUUGGUGGAACCUGCCUCACCUGUGGCCCUUCUGUGUCCUCCCAGUGCCAGGUAGUGGGCAAUGCAGCCCUCCGCAGGAAAGCCUGGUGCUUCCCAGACCAGGGUCUUCACUUUGGGGCUCACGUGGAGACCCCUGGCUGCAGUCUCCAUUUGACGCCACUGGCCCCUCCUCAGUCACCGGUCACCUUUUCCUUGUAUGUCCACCAGGACACCCCUACACCCCUAGCGCUGCUGCCUGUGGCUCAGAGGACAUGGUCUGGUGCAGGGGCGAGUCUGCCCUCAGGGUGCACAGAGGCCUGGGCUCUUAUUGCUUCCACUUGGGCACAUACCUUUCCAGGGAGCCUCCAGGUCUAGACCUCUGAGUGGGGUUGUGUGGGUGGCCCAGCAGGGCUCCUGCCCAUCCCCCGACCCCCGCAGAGGGAGGAACAUGUUAGAGAUUUCCUGAUCUCUGCCCUUUUUAACGUGUACUUCCUCUCUCUAGCUUGGCUUUUAAAAGGGAGACCAAGAGGGGCUCAUACUGUCACUGCCAGGAAACGUGAAUUGUUUUCAUUAUUAGAGCAGAUCCAUACAAAUCCUGA